rnacentral:rRNA from 1 species
CUUACGGGUGGCAGCAGUGGGGGAUAUUGCACAUUGGGGGAAACCCUGAUGCAGCGACGCCACGUGGGUGAAGAAGCGCCUCGGCGCGUAAAGCCCUGUCAGCAGGGAAGAAAAUGACGGUACCUGAAGAAGAAGCCCCGGCUAACUACGUGCCAGCAGCCGCGGUAAUACGUAGGGGGCAAGCGUUAUCCGGAUUUACUGUGUGUAAAGGGGGCGCAGACGGCGAUGCAAGCCAGGAGUGAAAGCCCGGGGCCCAACCCCUGGACUGCUCGUGGAACUGCGUGGCUAGAGUGCAGGAGGGGCAGGCGGAAUUCCUGGUGUAGCGGUGAAAUGCGUAGAUAUCAGGAGGAACACCGGUGGCGAAGGCGGCCUGCUGGACUGCAACUGACGUUGAGGCCCGAAAGCGUGGGGAGCAAACAGGAUUAGAUACCCGAGUAGUC